rnacentral:sRNA from 1 species
AUUCGUAGGCUUGUUGAGGACAGAUCAAGUGGAUAUGUGAGUCGAACCCGCCGGCGGUGAUGAUACCGUGUUCGCCGGCAAUGACAUCUGUGCCGUUGCCGACGACCAGGUUCGGAUGGACACCCUCCAUGACAUCGGGAUUGCCAGCUUUGCCGAUGCCAACGAUCACACCGUUCUUGAUCCCAAUGUCAGCCUUGUAGAUACCAGACCAAUCCACGAUCAGAGCAUUGGUGAUGACCGUGUCGAGAACGUCUUCAUCUUUACGGUCAGACGCUUGACCCAUGCCAUCCCGAAU